rnacentral:rRNA from 1 species
CCUACGGGCGGCAGCAGUGAGGAAUAUUGGUCAAUGGACGCAAGUCUGAACCAGCCAAGUAGCGUGCAGGAAGAAGGCCCUCCGGGUGGUAAAUUGCUUCUAGUUGGGAAUAAAAGGGGGCUCGUGAGCCCUGUAUGGUAUGUACUAACAGAAAAAGGACCGGCUAAUACCGUGCCAGCAGCCGCGGUAAUACGGAAGGUGCGGGGGUUAUCCGGAUUUAUAGGGGGUAAGGGGGGCGUAGGCCGGCUUUUAAGUCAGCUGUGAAAGACCGCGGCUCAACCGGGGAAUUGCAGUUGAUACUGGAGGCCUAGAGUACACACAGGAAUGCCAGAAUUCAUGGUGUAGCGGUGAAAUGCUUAGAGAUCAUGAGGAACACCGAACGCGAAGGCAAGUGUCCGGGGAUCAACUGACGCUGAGGCUCGAAAGUGCGGGUAUCAAACAGGAUUAGAUACCCGAGUAGUC